CUAGAUUGGUGCCAGAUAUUUUAUUUGCGUUUUGCUGGAUUCAAUUUUAAAUCAAGUGGCAACCCUGGUGACGGCUAAAGAAUCAAUAUUCUUCUCUCUAUAUUUCUCGUGCAAAACCCAAACAAACAUCAGCAGCUUCAUAAUUCGACAACGAAGCUCAAAAAAUUUCAGAGGCUGCUCACACUUAUGUAAUUCCCAUAUAAAUUGUCAACACGUUCGUGAUCAAAGUAUUUAGAACUAAACUAACUCUUCAAAAUACUUUGGUGCGUGAUGACAAAAGCGAAAAUAUAUCUUUCCUUAUUACUCUCAUGCAAAAUAUCAAACAAAUAUCAGCAGCGUCGUAGUAUCGGUUGUAUCGAAUACUGAGUAACACGAUGAGACAUUUCCGACAUUUCGAAGCUUGCCUACUCCAGCACACACAUUUCGCAUUGACAGUGUUGCUGAUAUUUGUUUGAUUUUUGCAUGUGAAAAAGAUGGAAGGAAGGCUUUCGUCAUCACGCACAUUUUGGCAAUACAUACGAGAGUUCACGUUGGUGCGAACAGCCUUCAAUAUCUCUUUUAAUCUCGACAACACGAAUUUUCUUGGCAACUGUUAACAUAUUUUGGUAUUUCCGGUCAGUAUUACUUCGAGAACAGGAAUAAGCGAUGCACGUGUUAUUGGAAACAGUUUGAAAUAUUUUAUUUUCUGGUGGAUUACUAUCUGAACGAUUGCAUUUAAUUGAAUAAUUCAGCAAAAGGCUUUUUCAACUUUAGUGAGGAUUUUUUUUAGUGAAAUCGGUAAAUAGAAAGUGAUUGAUCUGUUCCAUAAUUAUUGAGACAUUCGGGAGAAAUCGAUGUUCACAAAGCUGCCAUUUUGUCAAAACCGACCAGUGUUUUGUUUCAACCAAGAAAAUAAGUUUAGAUAAUCAACAGCCUAAGAAAACGGCGAAGCAUUUCGUAGCUGCUGUUCGUUUUUAAUGAAAGUCGCCGUCGCUACCUUUUACCGUCACAAACCACCAACCAGCGGAUUCAAUUCAACUUUUCAUUCGGAGUCGAGGUGUGGAUGUGUAGCUGCAGUGACAGAUUUUGUAAUCACAAGUUCGAAAACCAGCGAUACGCUACGUAACAGCUGUAUAUAUAUAUUGUCGAAAAUUGAUGGAAGGAGCCGUCUUGCCACUACGAACAACAUCGAUUUAACUAAGAAACGAGUCUAGUUUGCCAACUUUGCGAUGGCAUCCGCGAAAAAAAAAAUGCGCAAUCGCAUAGACUCAUAUUUCUUCGAGAGAGAAACAGAAGUGUUGAAGGAAAGCGUUUCUGCCGUUAAAGAAAAAUCCACCGAAAAUACGGUCGUAGAAAUUGACAUUGUUGAUAGAACUAGAAAUGAGGACCCACUAGAAGAGAGUACACCAGUAUUGGAUACUAUUGGUGGAAAAUUAAAAAUCAUCUGUUAUGGAAACAUUUCAAACGAGAAGACCCAAAAAAUGUAAAAUGUCUGUGAUGCGGUGCAAAACUUCAAACCAAAGACUCAUCUACAACGGCUCUUCACACCCAUUUAAAAAGUCGUCACAAAUCAAUUUACAUCGACUAUACCGUAG